ensembl:lncRNA
GGCUUUAUUAGGAGCCGGCUGAGCUUCCCUCCUGCUCUGGAGUCGUCUCCCCUUCCCCUUCCCCCUGGGCUCCCACUUUUCUCCCUUGCUUUCAGUCCUGCUCUCUGGAUCUAGGGCCUCCCUGACCACCCUGAACUGUGGGGAACUGGGGCUCCAGAUGGGGUGGAAAAGCCUUCCAGGCAGACGGCAUAGCCAUGGCAAUGGCCUGGAGGGUCUACGGUUCCCAAAAGCUCAAGAGCUCCUGGCUGUGGGGUGAACUUGGGAUCUAAGUGAACUCACAGAGAGUCAGAAAGCUUUGUGAGGUCUCAGUCCAGCUCAAACUCAGGCCCAAAUCCUAUUUAACAGAUGAGUAAAUUGAGUCUCAGGCAGCCAAAGGCAACCAGCAAGUCAGAAGCACAGAGCGGGUUCCACGCGCAACUCUCAGAACCUGAAACGGAGCUAACAGCCAUGGCCGCGAGAGAAAAAUAGGUCUGAUUCAUUCUCUCCGGGCAUAGGAUGCCCGCUCGCAAAACCCAGCACUAGGGAGCAGACCUAGAAACUCAGAUACGACCAAGACGAAGAG